rnacentral:rRNA from 1 species
GGUGGCGAGUGGCGAACGGGUGAGUAAUGUAUCGGAACGUACCUUUCAGUGGGGGAUAACGUAGCGAAAGUUACGCUAAUACCGCAUAUUCUGUGAGCAGGAAAGCAGGGGAUCGCAAGACCUUGCGCUGAUUGAGCGGCCGAUAUCAGAUUAGCUAGUUGGUGAGGUAAAGGCUCACCAAGGCGACGAUCUGUAGCGGGUCUGAGAGGAUGAUCCGCCACACUGGAACUGAGACACGGUCCAGACUCCUACGGGAGGCAGCAGUGGGGAAUUUUGGACAAUGGGGGCAACCCUGAUCCAGCCAUGCCGCGUGAGUGAAGAAGGCCUUCGGGUUGUAAAGCUCUUUCAGCCGGGAAGAAAACGCAUGGGUUAAUACCCUGUGUGGAUGACGGUACCGGAAUAAGAAGCACCGGCUAACUACGUGCCAGCAGCCGCGGUAAUACGUAGGGUGCGAGCGUUAAUCGGAAUUACUGGGCGUAAAGCGUGCGCAGGCGGUUUGUUAAGAUAGGCGUGAAAUCCCCGGGCUCAACCUGGGAACUGCGUUUAUGACUGGCAGGCUAGAGUAUGGCAGAGGGGGGUGGAAUUCCACGUGUAGCAGUGAAAUGCGUAGAGAUGUGGAGGAACACCGAUGGCGAAGGCAGCCCCCUGGGCCAAUACUGACGCUCAUGCACGAAAGCGUGGGUAGCAAACAGGAUUAGAUACCCUGGUAGUCCACGCCCUAAACGAUGUCAACUAGGUGUUGGGUGGGUAAAACCAUUUAGUACCGGAGCUAACGCGUGAAGUUGACCGCCUGGGGAGUACGGCCGCAAGGUUAAAACUCAAAGGAAUUGACGGGGACCCGCACAAGCGGUGGAUGAUGUGGAUUAAUUCGAUGCAACGCGAAAAACCUUACCUACCCUUGACAUGUCCAGGAGCUCUUAGAGAUUUGAGUGUGCCCGAAAGGGAACUGGAACACAGGUGCUGCAUGGCUGUCGUCAGCUCGUGUCGUGAGAUGUUGGGUUAAGUCCCGCAACGAGCGCAACCCUUGUCGUUAAUUGCCAUCAUUUAGUUGGGCACUUUAACGAGACUGCCGGUGACAAACCGGAGGAAGGUGGGGAUGACGUCAAGUCCUCAUGGCCCUUAUGGGUAGGGCUUCACACGUCAUACAAUGGUCGGUACAAAGGGUUGCCAACCCGCGAGGGGGAGCUAAUCCCAGAAAGCCGAUCGUAGUCCGGAUCGUAGGCUGCAACUCGCCUGCGUGAAGUCGGAAUCGCUAGUAAUCGUGGAUCAGCAUGUCACGGUGAAUACGUUCCCGGGUCUUGUACACACCGCCCGUCACACCAUGGGAGCGGGUUCCGCCAGAAGUAGGUAGCCUAACCGCAAGGAGGGCGCUUACCACGGCGGGGUUCGUGACUGGGGUGAAGUCGUAACAAGGUA